rnacentral:rRNA from 1 species
AUUGAACGCUGGCGGCAGGCCUAACACAUGCAAGUCGAGCGGAUGAAGGGAGCUUGCUCCUGGAUUCAGUGGCGGACGGGUGGGUAAUUCCUAGGAAUCUGCCUGGCAGUGGGGGAUAACGUCCGGAAACGGGCGCUAAUACCGCAUACGUCCUGAUGGUGAACGUGGGGGUUCUUCGGACCUCACGCUAUCUGAUGAGCCUAGGUCGUAUUAGCUAGUUGGUGGGGUAAAGGCCUACCAAGGCGACGAUCCGUAACUGGUCUGAGAGGAUGAUCAGUCACACUGGAACUGAGGCACGGUCCAGACUCCUACGGGAGGCAGCAGUGGGGAAUAUUGGACAAUGGGCGAAAGCCUGAUCCAGCCAUGCCGCGUGUGUGAAGAAGGUCUUCGGAUUGUAAAGCACUUUAAGUUGGGAGGAAGAGCAGUAAGUUAAUACCUUGCUGUUUUGACGGUACCAACAGAAUAAGCACCGGCUAACUUCGUG